UAGGUGAUCUAAUGGUCCCUUCUGGUCUUAAAUGUUUUUUUAACUCGACAAAAAUUUUGCAGAAUUAUAGCUUCCACUAAUAUACGGUUAUGGGACUGCAAUGAUGGGAAGCUCUGCUAGCUAGAGAACAUGGCCUUUGCUAUUUAAUUAGUCACAUUAUGUGCAGCUUUUCUUCUACGCAAUAGAUUUUGAAUUUAUAUUUAUUGCUUUAACAACUAGAAGACAAAACCAGAAAAAAGUCUAAUCUACCUCAUUAUUGAGAAAAGCAAGACCAAAAUCGAACAAACCCAUAUAUAAAUGGGAGAAAGCUAUGAUUUAGGAAAUUUCUUUUUACUCUUAUUACAAGAGGUAGGUUUUGGGGGCGGGGGUGCAGAACCCAGGAAAUUAGUGUUGGUACCUAUAAAGAACAUUAGCAUAUGUCUGGCUAUGUUCUGUUGGCUGCUCCUGGCCUUUCAACCAUCCUGAGAACUUACUGAAGAUGAUUUCUGUAUUGCAUAUCUUUGCAGGCAGGGUUUUUCUCUAAAAAUACUUGAUCACAUUAGAAAUCCCUUUUUCUUCACAGGCUUUUCUUCGGUGUGUGAAAGAUUCAAUUGUGCCACUCAGUUAAUUCCCUGAGAUUCAGUGAAUUCUCUGACUACGUUAUGCUUUUGGGUAAUUGUCUGCAAAAACCCUAUAAAACAUGUAAUUGGAUUUGUUUGUAUAACUCGUAUGCCAAAAUAUUGCUCCAUGACCUUUUACCAUUGAGAGAGAAUAUUUUUCCUCACCUUGGAAAAAUCUGUGACUGCUGAAAGUUUUAUGGCACCCUACAUUCCUUAUUUUCCUGUUUUAAAAAGUAGUACUGAUUAGUAAUACCUAAAUAUAGUAGAGGACGAGUUAAGUGCACAGGUUCCAACUCUUAAUAGGGUUUAUAGGGCAUCAGGAAGUUCAUAUAAUACUUUCAAAAAUAAGUACUGGGCCUUUCCCGCUCUUAAAAUUGCAUCCAGAUGUGGCUCUCUAAACAUGGCAGUGGCUUCACAUGCUGAUGUUUGAGGAGUGAAGAGGAUGUGUUAAAUCAGAUGAUGAUGGUGAUUUUGGCUGUUGUCUCAUCCGUGAAGAUCAUGUCAUUGAACUUCAUGUUGCUUUCAAGCCAUUCUAGGGCUUUGUUUGUUGCAACUGUUAGUACUUGCUGACCUCCUGAAGCAAAGGGCAAUGUGUAUUAAAAGAAUAUUCGAUCUGUUAUAGUUUUUACAUUAUUGUAUUGUACAUCAUACUUUUUCAUACAUUUAAUUUCAGUACUUAUGCUUUAUUUUAUUACAUUCAAUGUCACUGUGUCUUUCUGUAGCACCACCUGUUCUUUUGAUCAAUUCAGUUCACAUUUCUGGGGGUUAUGCCCACCUCAAACUUUCUCCAUGUAUUCAUUGAUCUUAAGUGAAGCUCACAAUCUUCUUUGAAAUCACUUCUCUUUUUGAAUAUCACUUCAAGAUAAAGAAAAAAACCAAAACUAGACCCAAACUGCCUUUUUAUAGUACCAUUUCUCUGUAUUCACCAUAUGCAUUUCCUUGGAGAUCUCCUCUUAUCCAUUGCACGAAGGUCCAGUGACAAAUAUCUCAAAGGACUGGAACAAGAACUUUGGAUACCCAUCCCAGCAAGUAGUGUGUUCCUCUGUGUAGCAUCUCCCAGAGAAUAAUGCUAAACUUUCAGCUAAUCUUGACCAAGUUACAGCUGAUAAAAUUCCUCAUAUUUUCAUGAAAUUUGGUAUACAGCUCUUUUUAAGUAAUCUUUUAAACAGCUUGUGAGCCAAGAUCCACCAAUUAGUGGUCAAGCCUUGCUACUCCCAAUCGUUCCAACAGAAGGCUGCUUGACUCACAAGUGGGGGACAAAGUCAGUUUCUUGGCAGUACCAGCUGGCAUUCCAUCGUGAACUAAUUGCAGCAUGUCAAGAUGGAGCAGUCACAGAUCAUCCAAUGAGACAUGAAGGCUCUUCAGUUCCUUUGUGAAGACAGCGUAAUCAUGGAAUUUAUGGAAACAAGACAUCGGAAGGGUGAUGUUGAGGAAGGUGCCAAAGUAAUACUUCACCAGAAAUGUCCAAGAGAUGACAGGCAGUGAUUUGAAGUAAAAGUUCUCAAGAUAGGAGAUUUCCUCUUCUUUCAAGAGCAUUGGAGAUGUUGUGAUGACUUUGAGAUGGGACAAAAAGUCAAAAGAAAGCAAAGUAAAAUGAAAAUGUAGCUGAGAGAAUAGACAAAAUCAGGGCUAUUGUUGGAAACCCAGUCCAGGAAAUCUUGGAGUGCUGGAAGAGGAGAAAAUGUAUCAUGAACACAGGGAUUGGAAGUCUGAGGGCAUGGAAGUUCCUGGAAUACAUCAAGAAUGCCAUCCUCAACCUGGGCAGGCUUAAGCUACCAUCCUAUGUAGAUGUGUUUGAUUUCCUGAACACCAUCACUGCCAUAUGAGGAUGUGGUGCUCAUCAGUAUACUGACCACGGAGGUGCAGAGAUAAACGUGAGAAAAUCAGAUUCUACAUGCCCAUUUGGGGAAAGAGCUCAAGAAACUAAGUAGGAAAUUGAAACAAUUGAGUCCAAAGCGCAGGCAUGGACUCAGGAAUGGUAGCCAGGGGAGAUUACAUUGCAAGAAUUUGCUGUUGGGCUUCCUGCCUUUCUUAUCUUGCAGUGAUGGACUUACCAGGGAUAUUGCAGACUGAAGAUUGAGUGAACAAGGACAUCAGUGUCUUCAGUGGAUUCUCCUAGAUGUCUGCUCUAUUAGUGCCUGCGCACAGCAUUCUUCAUCUGUGGCUGCUGAAACUUUUCUGCCCUACAUGUAUUCUCAUCCCCAGUUUUUGAUGAUGAGCUGGAGUUCGCUAGUGUAGAGCUGAAUGUUAUUGUUUUGGAAGUCACAAAAAAACACACAAGAUCUUCAGAAACAGCACGGCUGAAGCCUACUGCAAAUAGCCGAGAAAAGCCAGUGUACAAUUGGUCAAUGGAAAAUCUCUACUAUUUGAGAACUUUGUGAGUUGAAGUGGAACAGAAGGAGAACUAUGUUCAGCCUUAAACAAUGACUAGUAUUUUUAAUCACAGUUAAAAUCAGUGAGGGUGGAACAUUUUCAGCAUUCCAUCAUCAAAUCUUAAAAAAUACCCCCAAAAAAACAAAACAAAAAAACACUCCCCCCCCAAAAAAAACCACUGCAGCACAUGGUAAUUGCUUUCCUUUCGAAUUGAAUAAAGUUUUUUUUGUUGAUUGUGUUACUUUAA